rnacentral:rRNA from 1 species
UGUGUAGGCGGUUGUUUAAGUUUGGUGUGAAAUCUCCCGGCUCAACUGGGAGGGUGCGCCGAAUACUGAAUGACUUCGAGUGCGGGAGAGGAAAGUGGAAUUCCUGGUGUAGCGGUGAAAUGCGUAGAUAUCAGGAGGAACACCGGUGGUGUAGACGGCUUUCUGGACCGUAACUGACGCUGAGACACGAAAGCGUGGGUAGCAAACAG